rnacentral:rRNA from 1 species
GACGAACGCUGGCGGCGUGCCUAAUACAUGCAAGUAGAACGCACAGUUUAUACCGUAGCUUGCUACACCAUAAACUGUGAGUUGCGAACGGGUGAGUAACGCGUAGGUAACCUGCCUGGUAGCGGGGGAUAACUAUUGGAAACGAUAGCUAAUACCGCAUAAUAUUGAUUAUUGCAUGAUAAUUGAUUGAAAGAUGCUAUUGCAUCACUACCAGAUGGACCUGCGUUGUAUUAGCUAGUAGGUGAGGUAACGGCUCACCUAGGCGACGAUACAUAGCCGAACUGAGAGGGUGAUCGGCCACACUGGGACUGAGACAAGGCCCAGACUCCUACGGGAGGCAGCAGUAGGGAAUCUUCGGCAAUGGACGAAAGUCUGACCGAGCAACGCCGCGUGAGUGAAGAAGGUUUUCGGAUCGUAAAGCUCUGUUGUAAGAGAAGAACGGGUGUGAGAGUGGAAAGUUCACACUGUGACGGUAUCUUACCAGAAAGGGACGGCUAACCACGUG